CGUCACAGAAAGAUUGUAGUUUUACACUAUUUAUAUUUUGAUCGUCCAUCUUGUUUGAAAAAAAUAUGAUUGGUAUUUUCAUUGUUAUUAGAUGAUAAAACAUGAAUAAUAUUUUAUGUGUGACUAUUUUUUUUUAAUUUUUUAUAAAUUUUUUAAAUAAGACAGAUGGUUAAAUGUUGAAUAUGGAAAUCGUACUUAAA
rnacentral:pre_miRNA from 1 species